CACCUUAGCGUCGAUUAGCGCGGCAAUUUCAAUUGUUUCUCGAAGACAAAAUAAAUCCAUAUUCACUAGUAUCCAAUCGACCGCCAUGUCGUUAAACUGAGCUGCACAUAUCCAAUUAACCGCCAUGUCGUUAAACUGAACAUUCCAUAUUCAAACCGACCGCCAUGUCAUUAAACUGAGCAUCACUACUCAAUCCGACCGAUAUGUCGGUAAACUGAGUACCAAAACUCAAAC
rnacentral:lncRNA from 1 species